rnacentral:rRNA from 1 species
AGAGUUUGAUCCUGGCUCAGGACGAACGCUGGCGGCGUGCCUAAUACAUGCAAGUCGAGCGGACAGAUGGGAGCUUGCUCCCUGAUGUUAGCGGCGGACGGGUGAGUAACACGUGGGUAACCUGCCUGUAAGACUGGGAUAACUCCGGGAAACCGGGGCUAAUACCGGAUGGUUGUUUGAACCGCAUGGUUCAAACAUAAAAGGUGGCUUCGGCUACCACUUACAGAUGGACCCGCGGCGCAUUAGCUAGUUGGUGAGGUAACGGCUCACCAAGGCAACGAUGCGUAGCCGACCUGAGAGGGUGAUCGGCCACACUGGGACUGAGACACGGCCCAGACUCCUACGGGAGGCAGCAGUAGGGAAUCUUCCGCAAUGGACGAAAGUCUGACGGAGCAACGCCGCGUGAGUGAUGAAGGUUUUCGGAUCGUAAAGCUCUGUUGUUAGGGAAGAACAAGUACCGUUCGAAUAGGGCGGUACCUUGACGGUACCUAACCAGAAAGCCACGGCUAACUACGUGCCAGCAGCCGCGGUAAUACGUAGGUGGCAAGCGUUGUCCGGAAUUAUUGGGCGUAAAGGGCUCGCAGGCGGUUUCUUAAGUCUGAUGUGAAAGCCCCCGGCUCAACCGGGGAGGGUCAUUGGAAACUGGGGAACUUGAGUGCAGAAGAGGAGAGUGGAAUUCCACGUGUAGCGGUGAAAUGCGUAGAGAUGUGGAGGAACACCAGUGGCGAAGGCGACUCUCUGGUCUGUAACUGACGCUGAGGAGCGAAAGCGUGGGGAGCGAACAGGAUUAGAUACCCUGGUAGUCCACGCCGUAAACGAUGAGUGCUAAGUGUUAGGGGGUUUCCGCCCCUUAGUGCUGCAGCUAACGCAUUAAGCACUCCGCCUGGGGAGUACGGUCGCAAGACUGAAACUCAAAGGAAUUGACGGGGGCCCGCACAAGCGGUGGAGCAUGUGGUUUAAUUCGAAGCAACGCGAAGAACCUUACCAGGUCUUGACAUCCUCUGACAAUCCUAGAGAUAGGACGUCCCCUUCGGGGGCAGAGUGACAGGUGGUGCAUGGUUGUCGUCAGCUCGUGUCGUGAGAUGUUGGGUUAAGUCCCGCAACGAGCGCAACCCUUGAUCUUAGUUGCCAGCAUUCAGUUGGGCACUCUAAGGUGACUGCCGGUGACAAACCGGAGGAAGGUGGGGAUGACGUCAAAUCAUCAUCCCCCUUAUGACCUGGGCUACACACGUGCUACAAUGGACAGAACAAAGGGCAGCGAAACCGCGAGGUUAAGCCAAUCCCACAAAUCUGUUCUCAGUUCGGAUCGCAGUCUGCAACUCGACUGCGUGAAGCUGGAAUCGCUAGUAAUCGCGGAUCAGCAUGCCGCGGUGAAUACGCUCCCGGGCCUUGUACACACCGCCCGUCACACCACGAGAGUUUGUAACACCCGAAGUCGGUGAGGUAACCUUUUAGGAGCCAGCCGCCGAAGGUGGGACAGAUGAUUGGGGUGAAGUCGUAACAAGGUAGCCGUAUCGGAAGGUGCGGCUG